rnacentral:lncRNA from 1 species
AAGGUGGUGAAAAGUGAAGAGAACUCUCUCUCUCUUUUUUUUAGGCAUAUAAGAACACAUUAUAUAACUUCUACAGCACUCCAUUCUUUUUUAAGUCAAGUGGGAGAUAGGAAGAGUGUACCUAAAAGAAGUGAUGCCCCAGAAGCAAUGAGCACACCUAGCACAGAGAUCUUGGUGUCUGCUGCUAUUCUCCAAUAAAAGGAAACAUGGAUCCUCAGAGAACUGGCUGCUUCUUCACCUGGGGCACAAAAGGUGAGCCCAGAGCUUCUCAUAGUGCCAGAAAGUAAGAAAGUGCUGAAAAAGAACAAACAAUAAAACCUAGAUUGAUGAAAAUAUCAAAGGUUUAGAAGACAACUGAAAGAACUCUCAGGGACCACACUGAGACACUUUGAAAAAACAUAAUAGAGAAG